UUCCUCUCUUCCAGUCUGACAAACAUGACUCUCAAGAUCGUCACCCUCUUUGCCCUUAUGGUUGGCGUUCUUGCUGACUCUGUUCCCUCGUACAGUCCUCCUGCUCCAUCCUACAGCCCUCCUGUUCCUUCCUAUAACGCCCCUGCACCUGCUCCAUCGGGACCUGCACAGUACGACUUCAACUAUGCCGUGAAAGACGACU